AGCAGUCGCCGCGGGAAUACAGAGGGUGCGAGCGUUAAUCGGAUUUACUGGGCGUAAAGCGUGCGUAGGCGGCUUCUUAAGUCGGAUGUGAAAUCCCUGAGCUUAACUUAGGAAUUGCAUUCGAUACUGGGAAGCUAGAGUAUGGGAGAGGAUGGUAGAAUUCCAGGUGUAGCGGUGAAAUGCGUAGAGAUCUGGAGGAAUACCGAUGGCGAAGGCAGCCAUCUGGCCUAAUACUGACGCUGAGGUACGAAAGCAUGGGGAGCAAACAGGAUUAGAUACCCCAGUAGUCCCUGUCUCUUAUAU
rnacentral:rRNA from 1 species